rnacentral:rRNA from 1 species
GACGAACGCUGGCGGCGUGCUUAACACAUGCAAGUCGAGCGGUAAGGCCCUUUCGGGGUACACGAGCGGCGAACGGGUGAGUAACACGUGGGUGACCUGCCCUUAGCUCUGGGAUAAGCCUGGGAAACUGGGUCUAAUACCGGAUAUGACUCCAUGACGCAUGUUGUGGGGUGGAAAGCCUUGUGCGGCUAGGGAUGGGCCCGCGGCCUAUCAGCUUGUUGGUGGGGUGAUGGCCACCAAGGCGACGACGGGUAGCCGGCCUGAGA